CUUGCAAGUGAAAUUACUGACACCAAUUGAUUUUGUAAGGCCAAGUGUUUGGCACUCUUCCAAGGCUGUCCAAACAGACUUAAUGUCCAUCGAAACAACGUCUUCAGGGCUAAAUGGAAAAGGUGCUCCAGGCUUCAGGCUCACCGGAAAAUGUAUAAGGUAUUGAUCAAGAUACUCCAUCUUCAGUUUCCUGCACAGUAAAAUAUUCCAACAUAUUCAUCAGCAUAGUCAGAUAUAAUCUUUCAUCUUAGUUACUAUAAAGUGUAGUCUAAUAUAUUACUGCAGAGUCCUUCGAAGGGCAGGGAGGACACGAUCGCCAUAAUUAUCAGAGCACCAGAUCUUAGAAGUGAUGAAGACUUCGUCCCUGGACUUGAUCAAACCGAGACCAAGAGCCUGAGAUAUGGCUUCAC
rnacentral:lncRNA from 1 species